CACGUAGGAUCCAAGCGUUAUCCGGAUUUACUGGGCGUAAAGCGCGUGCAGGUGGUUUGGAAAGUUGGGUGUUAAAUCUCCUGGCUCAACUGGGAGUUGUCGCUCAAAACUACCAGACUAGAGGACGGUAGAGGGAGGUGGAAUUCCGGGUGUAGUGGUGAAAUGCGUAGAUAUCCGGAGGAACACCAGUGGCGAAGGCGGCCUCCUGGCCCGUUCCUGACACUCAGACGCGAAAGCUAGGGUAGCAAACGGG
rnacentral:misc_RNA from 1 species